GAUCAUGGCUCAGGAUGAACGCUAGCUACAGGCUUAACACAUGCAAGUCGAGGGGAAACGACAUCGAAAGCUUGCUUUUGAUGGGCGUCGACCGGCGCACGGGUGAGUAACGCGUAUCCAACCUGCCCACCACUUGGGGAUAACCUUGCGAAAGUAAGACUAAUCCCAAUGACAUCCCACGAAGACAUCUGAAUGGGAUUAAAGNUUUAUCGGUGAUGGAUGGGGAUGCGUCUGAUUAG
rnacentral:rRNA from 1 species